rnacentral:rRNA from 1 species
AGUAACGCGUAUCCAACCUGCCCACCACUUGGGGAUAACCUUGCGAAAGUAAGACUAAUACCCAAUGAUAUCUCUAGAAGACAUCUGAAAGAGAUUAAAGAUUUAUCGGUGAUGGAUGGGGAUGCGUCUGAUUAGCUUGUUGGCGGGGUAACGGCCCACCAAGGCAACGAUCAGUAGGGGUUCUGAGAGGAAGGUCCCCCACAUUGGAACUGAGACACGGUCCAAACUCCUACGGGAGGCAGCAGUGAGGAAUAUUGGUCAAUGGACGAGAGUCUGAACCAGCCAAGUAGCGUGCAGGAUGACGGCCCUAUGGGUUGUAAACUGCUUUUAUUAAGGGAAUAAAGUGAGUCUCGGUGAGACUUUUUGCAUGUACCUUAUGAAUAAGGACCGGCUAAUUCCGUGCCAGCAGCCGCGGUAAUACGGAAGGUCCGGGCGUUAUCCGGAUUUAUUGGGUUUAAAGGGAGCGUAGGCCGGAGAUUAAGCGUGUUGUGAAAUGUAGACGCUCAACGUCUGCACUGCAGCGCGAACUGGUUUCCUUGAGUACGCACAAAGUGGGCGGAAUUCGUGGUGUAGCGGUGAAAUGCUUAGAUAUCACGAAGAACCUCCGAUUGCGAAGGCAGCUCGCUGGUGCGCAACUG